AGUGUCGUCCAGCUCGUCGCUGUGAUAUGGCGGAGAGCGGGUCGUCAGCUGAAU
ensembl:miRNA